UCACCAGCGCGAGCCCGCCGCGCGCGGAGGCCGGAGCCGGGCGCGUCUCCUGGAGCCCGCGCUGUGAACCUCAGGGACCCACUGUUGGGGACGGGGCACGGAGGCGAGUUUUCCCGGGACAUUUCUGGUGUGACAGUGUGACACCGUGGGGGACGCGGUGCCUUAUCCCUUUCUUGAAGGGACGGAGACCCCGUUUCGGCCCCCGCGUCCCUGACCUUCGGAGGAGUCUCUCUGCUAAUGAGCGUGUUAGCCCUCGAGACCACGGAGGCGGCCUGGAGGGGCGGCCUGGGGGGGCUGCUGGCGGGCCGGGCCCCAACCGCAGCGCCCGGCUGAGGGGAAGGCCUCGGCCGGACUUGGCUUCCCCUCUCUGAGGAAGUCGGGGCGUUCACCCCUCGUAGGGCCGACCUGUGGCCCAAAGGCCCUCUGGCCACCCACGUGGGCCGGGCUGCCACUUCCCGGUCUGGUGGGGCUGAAAGGAUGUCAUUUCCACCAGUCUCUACUUUGCAACCCAGGGUCGUCCUUUGAUUAGUGACCAGAGCUGAGGAAACUGAGGCCGAAGGAGGGGCCCAGCUAGGCCCAGUGAAGCUUUUUUCCGGGAGGCGCCAGGUUCCCCCGUGGAGCCCGAAGAGCUGCGUGGAAAUGAGGGAACAGGGAAGCCUCAAUGCCACCCAUGGUGAAAAAUUACCAAUCCCUGCAGGAUCUCUCUCUGCCACUUUCACUACAGAACGUGCAUUCAUUAUAGCAAGAGCCCAAGGAAGACAAUGUAAGGAUACUGGGAAAGGGCAGCAGAAACUGCAUGGUCUGAGCACAGGAGACCUGUCUGUAAGUCGACCUGUCUGUAAGUCCUGCUUCUCCAGCCUCCUGCUGGGAGGUCUUGGCUUUGUCAUUCCCCUCUCUGGGUCUUAGUGAUCCCUUCAAGGUCUCCCCACUAUGACAAGCCCAAAACAGUGUUUUGAGGAUGCUUACAGGAGGCAGUGGGCAAAAUGGCUUUGCGUAGCCAAUGCUUUUCUGGGGUAAAGACUUGCUACAUGGCGGAGAGAGAUGGGGUGUUGUUCAAUUUUCUCGUUGAGGGAUCCCUGGGUGGUGCAGUGGUUUAGCGCCUGC
rnacentral:lncRNA from 12 species